rnacentral:rRNA from 1 species
UAUUGCGCAAUGGGGGAAACCCUGACGCAGCGACGCCGCGUGGGUGAUGAAGGCCUUCGGGUCGUAAAGCCCUUUUGCCACUGACGAGACAAGGACGGUAGGUGGCGAAUAAGCCUCGGCUAACUACGUGCCAGCAGCCGCGGUAAAACGUAGGAGGCGAGCGUUAUCCGGAGUUACUGGGCGUAAAGCGCGCGCAGGCGGUUGUGUAAGUGGGCUGUGAAAGCUCCCGGCUAAACUGGGAGAGUGCGGCUCAGACUGCAUGACUAGAGUGAGGUAGAGGAGCGUGGAAUUCGGGGUGUAGCGGUGAAAUGUGUAGAGAUCCCGAGGAACACCAGAGGGGAAACCGGCGCUCUGGGCCUUAACUGACGCUGAGGCGCGAAAGCUGGGGGAGCGAACGGG